UACGAAGGGGGCUAGCGUUGCUCGGAAUCACUGGGCGUAAAGGGUGUGUAGGCGGGUUUUUAAGUCAGGGGUGAAAUCCUGGAGCUCAACUCCAGAACUGCCUUUGAUACUGAAGAUCUCGAGUCCGGGAGAGGUGAGUGGAACUGCGAGUGUAGAGGUGAAAUUCGUAGAUAUUCGCAAGAACACCAGUGGCGAAGGCGGCUCACUGGCCCGGUACUGACGCUGAGGAGCGAAAGCGUGGGGAGCAAACAGG
rnacentral:rRNA from 1 species